rnacentral:rRNA from 1 species
GACGAACGCUGGCGGCGUGCUUAACACAUGCAAGUCGAACGGAAAGGCCCUGCUUUUUUGGGGUUCUCGAGUGGCGAACGGGUGAGUAACACGUGAGUAACCUGCCCUUGACUUUGGUAUAACUUCAGGAAACUGGGGCUAAUACCGGAUAGGAGCUCCUGCUGCAUGGUGGGGGUUGGAAAGUUUCGGCGGUUGGGGAUGGACUCGCGGCUUAUCAGCUUGUUGGUGGGGUAGUGGCUUACCAAGGGUUUGACGGGUAGCCGGCCUGAGAGGGUGACCGGCCACAAUGGGACUGCGAUACGGCCCAGACUCCUACGGGAGGCAGCAGUGGGGAAUAUUGCCCAAUGGGAGGAAGCCUGAUGCAGAAACGCCGCGUGCGGGAUGACGGCCUUCGGGUUGUAAAACGCUUUCGCCUGUGACGAAGCGUGAGUGACGGUAAUGGGUAAAGAAGCACCGGCUAACUACGUG